CAGCCAUGCAGUGAAUACAAAGCGAACUAUUCUUUCGCCUUUUACUAAAGAAUACCGUGUAUUCGCUGCACUAAAGUGGCAUACGCCUAUUUUUUGGAGAGACUCUUCAACAAUUGAAGGGC
rnacentral:snRNA from 1 species